GCAGCCGCGGUAAUUCCAGCUCCAAUAGCGUAUAUUAAUGUUGCUGCAGUUAAAAAGCUCGUAGUUGGAUCUGAGGACUCGAAUUGGUGGUGCACCAUACGGUGUUACUGCCGAUUCGGCCUACCUAGUCGGUGCUCGCUCUUGGUGUUCUUAAUUGAAUGCCCUGAGUGCCCGGCAAGUUUACUUUGAAAAAAUUAGAGUGCUCAAAGCAGGCCAUUAGCCGGAAUACUUCAGCAUGGAAUAAUGGAAUAGGACUUCGGUUCUAUUUUGUUGGUUUUCGGAACCCGAGGUAAUGAUUAGAGAGACAGACGGGGGCAUUCGUACUGCGGUGUUAGAGGUGAAAUUCUUGGAUCGCCGCAAGACGAACAACUGCGAAAGCAUUUGCCAAGAAUGUUUUCAUUAAUCAAGAACGAAAGUCAGAGGUUCGAAGACGAUCAGAUACCGUCCUAGUUCUGACCAUAAACGAUGCCAACUGGCGAUCCGAGAUCGUUUGCUUAUUGACCUCGGGCAGCCUCCGGGAAACCAAAGUUUUUAGGUUCCGGGGGAAGUAUGGUUGCAAAGCUGGAACUUAAAGAAUUGAGGAAUUGACGAAGGCACCACCAGGAGUGGAGCCUGCGGCUUAAUUUGACUCAACACGGGAAAACUCACCCGGCCCGGACACUGUUAGGAUUGACAGCAUUGAGAGCUCUUUCUUGAUUCGGUGGGUGGUGGUGCAUGGCGCGUUCUUAGUUGUGGAGCGAUUUGUCUGGUUAAUUCCGAUAACGAACGAGGACUCUAGCCUUGCUAAAAUAGUACGCCGAUACCUUUUCGUCGGUGCUGACUUCUUAGAGGGACAAGCGUCUUGAAAGACGCACGAGAUUUGAAGCAGCUAACAGGUUUGCAGCCGUUUGAUGCCCUGUUAGAUGUUCGGGGCCGCAACUGCGCGCUACACUGAAGGGGCACAGCGAGUUUUUCCUGCGUUCGAAAGAACCGGCGUAAUCUGUUGAAUUCCCUUCGUGACAGGGAUCGGGGCUUGCAAUUUCCCCGUUGAACGAGGAAUUCCCAGUAAGCGCAAGUCAUCAGCUUGCGUUGAUUACGUCGCCUGCCCUUUGUACACACCGCCCGUCGCUUACUACGAUUGAAUGGUUUAGCAAGUCCUCGGAUUGGUGCCGACUUCGGUGGCAACACAUAGGUCGGAUACUGAAAAGAAAGAUCAAACUUGAUCAUUUAGAGGAAGUAAAAGUCGCCUAACAAGGUGUUGUAGGUGAACCUGCGAAGGAUCUAUU
rnacentral:ncRNA from 1 species